rnacentral:rRNA from 1 species
AGGACGAACGCUGGCGGCGUGCCUAACACAUGCAAGUCGAACGCGCUCCAUUCGGUAGCAAUACUGAUGAAGAGCGAGUGGCGAACGGGUGAGUAGCACGUGAGCAACCUGCCCCGAAGACCGGGACAACACCGGGAAACCGGUGCUAAUACCGGAUAUCCCUAUCGGACCGCAUGAUCUGAUAAGGAAAUGGAUUCCGCUUCGGGAGGGGCUCGCGGCCUAUCAGCUAGUUGGUGAGGUAACGGCCCACCAAGGCAUCGACGGGUAGCUGGUCUGAGAGGACGAUCAGCCACACUGGGACUGAGACACGGCCCAGACUCCUACGGGAGGCAGCAGUGGGGAAUCUUGCGCAAUGGGCGAAAGCCUGACGCAGCAACGCCGCGUGGAGGACGAAGGCUUUCUGAGUUGUAAACUCCUUUCAGCAGGGACGAUAGUGACGGUACCUGCAGAAGAAGCACCGGCCAACUCGCGCCAGCAGCCGCGGUAAC